rnacentral:rRNA from 1 species
CACGCCGUAAACGAUGAUCACUCGCUGUUUGCGAUAUACAGUAAGCGGCUGAGCGAAAGCAAUAAGUGAUCCACCUGGGGAGUACGAUCGCAAGGUUGAAACUCAAAGGAAUUGACGGGGGCCCGCACAAGCGGAGGAACAUGUGGUUUAAUUCGAUGAUACGCGAGGAACCUUACCUGGGCUUAAAUGGGGAGUGACGUUUGCUGAAAGGCGGAUUUCUUCGGACACUCUUCAAGGUGC